rnacentral:rRNA from 1 species
AACGAACGCUGGCGGCAUGCCUAACACAUGCAAGUCGAACGAGACCUUCGGGUUUAGUGGCGCACGGGUGAGUAACGCGUGGGAACCUGCCCUUAGGUUCGGAAUAACUCCCCGAAAGGGGUGCUAAUACCGGAUAAUGUCUUCGGACCAAAGAUUUAUCGCCUUUGGAUGGGCCCGCGUUUGAUUAGCUAGUUGGUAGUGUAAAAGCCUACCAAGGCGCCGAUACAUAGCUGGUCUGAGAGGGUGGUCAACAAAACUGGGACUGAGACACGGACCAGACUCCUACGGGAGGGAGCAGUAGGGAAUAUUGGACAAUGAGCGCAGGCAUGGUCAAGCAAUGCCGCGUGAGUGAUAAAGGCCUUAGGGUUGUAAAGCUCUUUUACCCGGGAUGAUAAUGACGGUACCGGGAGAAUAAGCUCCGGCUAACUACGUG